rnacentral:pre_miRNA from 11 species
GACCGCACGGGAUAAUCGAUUAUCUCGUGCGGUCCAAUAAGGCCCACCGCACGGGAUAAUAUAUUAUCCCAUGCGGUC